rnacentral:rRNA from 1 species
GAUCCUGGCUCAGAUUGAACGCUGGCGGCGUGCCUCAGACAUGCAAGUCGAACGCGAAAGCCCCCUUCGGGGGGCAAGUAGAGUGGCGCACGGGUGAGUAACACGUAGGUAAUCUACCUUCGGAUGGGGAAUAACAACCGGAAACGGUUGCUAAUACCGCAUAAUGCAGCGGCACCUAAUGGUGACAGUUGUUAAAGCGGGGGAUCGUAAGACCUCGCGCCUGAAGAGAAGCUCGCGGCGGAUUAGCUAGUUGGUAGGGUAACGGCCUACCAAGGCGACGAUCCGUAGCCGGCCUGAGAGGGCGGUCGGCCACACUGACACUGACACACGGGUCAGACUCCUACGGGAGGCAGCAGAUCU